UAGGCUUUAGGUCUCGUCCACAAUUCUGGU
rnacentral:piRNA from 1 species